UACGUAGGGGGCUAGCGUUAUCCGGAAUUACUGGGCGUAAAGGGUGCGUAGGUGGUUUCUUAAGUCAGAGGUGAAAGGCUACGGCUCAACCGUAGUAAACCUUUGGAACUGGGAAACUUGAGUGCAGGAGAGGAGAGUGGAAUUCCUAGUGUAGCGGUGAAAUGCGUAGAUAUUAGGAGGAACACCAGUUGCGAAGGCGGCUCUCUGGACUGUAACUGACACUGAGGCACGAAAGCGUGGGGAGCAAACAGG
rnacentral:rRNA from 1 species